CCUACGGGAGGCAGCAGUCGAGAAUCAUUCACAAUGGGGGAAACCCUGAUGGUGCGACGCCGCGUGGGGGAAUGAAGGUCUUCGUAUUUUAAACCCCUUUCAUUUGGGAUUAAAUUAAAAAGAUAGUACCACAAGAGGAAGAGACGGCUAACUCUGUGCCAGCAGCCGCGGUAAUACAGAGGUCUCAAGCGUUGUUCGGAAUCACUGGGCGUAAGGCGUGCGUAGGCUGUUUCGUAAGUCGUGUGUGAAAGGCGCGGGCUCAACCCGCGGACGGCACAUGAUACUGCGAGACUAGAGUAAUGGAGGGGGAACCGGAAUUCUCGGUGUAGCAGUGAAAUGCGUAGAUAUCGAGAGGAACACUCGUGGCGAAGGCGGGUUCCUGGACAUUAACUGACGCUGAGGCACGAAGGCCAGGGGAGCGAAAGGGAUUAGAUACCCUAGUAGUC
rnacentral:rRNA from 1 species